GGUCUGUUCAUCUAGCGGUUAGGAUGCUACCCUCUCACGGUGGAAACAUGGGUUCGAGUCCCAUACAGAUCACCA
rnacentral:tRNA from 1 species